GCAGCACACAGCACAGAUUUAAAGAGGAACAGGCUAUGUCUCCCACGUCUGGGGAAGGAGGUUUCUGCUUUGACAUGGGAGCUUCAGCACUGACUGACCUGCUGUGGACUUUCUCAAAAAUGUCAACAAUGAUAUACAGCACUCUGAGGAAGAAACAGACAGCCUGACUUCAAAAGUCCAUGGACUACAAAAUGCUGCUGUUGUGGGUUAACACCGCUAUCCAGCUAAGCAUUACACAGGCACUUGAUCACUUCUUCAUGCCCAGGGGGACAGGAGAAAGGAAGACUAAAAGCAAGAAGAACUUAUGGGUUGAGAUUAAAAUUAUUUAAUAAGUGAAGAAGAGAGAUAGAAAACAAAACAAGUGAUGCAAAGACCAGCUGUUCAACAAGAGGUGGGAAAUACAGGGAGCAACAGGCAAGCAGCUUUGAAAUCUGCUCAUGUUGGCAUGGCAGAAUUGUAUUAACUCAUCCUUUGGAUGACAGCAUGUAAAAGACAAUCCACGGAGGAAUUUCCCACCUGUGCGUGUGUGAGUACACAGAAGAAAAUUAGUUAUAGUCUCUUUUUGACCGUCUCCAACGGUCAGCAUUUAACAAAGUGUGUUUGGAGAGGGGAAUAUUUCAGUCCAAGUAACAGACUUGCAGGGGCUGCGGCUCACCAUGUGUAUGACCUUUAUUUGGUUGUCAGCUCCCUUGGGAGCCAAUGCUGGCACUGGGGAAAGGUGGCUGAACCAAGGACAGAUCAAACAGAUAGGCAAGCUGCAGGCAGUGACAUCCCAGGAGCAGCCAUGUGCACAACAGAGAGCAACAGAGGUACUGCAUAUCAAACCAUGCACUGUUGCUGUGCUAGCAUGGACCAUCUUGAUACAGACACCACAUCAAAAAGCUCCAGCCUCCUUCAGAGACAUCUCUGCUUAUGAUAAACCCAGGCUAAAGCUUGGAAAUCCUCCUCCAUAUGUGCUUUUACAUGGCCUAGUUGCCAUGUGUAUUUUAGUACUUUGCAUUCAUGGGCUAACAUGAACUAUAAUUUUCCUUAUAGGAAAAUGAUUGUUCCUCUACUAGUUUUAUGAGGGAGAAUGUGAUAUUUGGAGAGUUUUUUGCUAAGUGGAUGCUGCUUCUGUGUGAGCAGGCCAAAAACUCGCUUAUCUAUUUCAAGGGAUGAAUAAUAAUUCAAGAUGAUCCUUAAUAUCUAGAAGAUUUUUGUCUUCAGUCUCUGAGCUACUCCCAAGAAAUGCUUCUCCAUGGGCAUGUAAGAUUGAGACAAAGGAUUGCACAUUCUCAGCCACCAUGGUGACCUUCCCUGCAUCUGAAUCUUGCUUCACAACUCCAGCUUCCACGUCUUUCUCCUUAAUUCUCCACCCAGCCCUGUCUAUGAACUGACUUUCUCCAUUAAGUCAAGCCCCUAGUUAUGGACAUCAAAGACAGGCUGUACAGUGCCAUGUGGGAUUGCUGCUCACCACUACUCAUACUUGCAGGCUGCAGCAGACAGAUGAGCCAUGUAUAUCAUGUAACUUCAGGAAAGCUUCUGCAUUCAGACUGGACGGCUGCUGAGGCUUGUACUUUGAGGCAUUUCUGUAUAGGUAUCUGGUGAGCUGGGGGUUGAGCGUGACCCUGAAGUCUGCCAUAAUGAUUAGACUUAUUCUUAACUUCCUGUGCAUCUGUUCUCCAACUGACAAAUGGGGGUAACUGAAGUUCUCACCUCUCUCAAGCACAGAUAGGCUUUAUUUAUCCUGGUGUUAAAAAGCUUCAUGGUGCAUCUCAGAACAGCCAGCCAACAACCCAGAGCAGUGUCUUUUACAGUCCCCAGGCCAGGCCACAGAGCAGCUGGGAUAUCAUGACUGAGACUCUGAGUUUGAGUAUGAGAAGGCAGUGUAGAGAGCAAGAAUCAGUCUGAUAUGCUUGCAGGUGUCUUGAGUCAUUAAGGACACACACUGCAGUGUUCUGUAGCCGUUGUGUUUCCUGAGGACUUGUGGCAACACGCCAAGUGUAGAGUAUCCCUGCAGAUCUACGAGCAGGUGAUGGUUCAGACUGCCUUCCUCCUCCUCCACAUCUCUGUACCAGCCAAAAUGGAAAAUGAGUUUCUCUGGGUAUCUUUCCAGAAGCCUAUGAACUGAUGCACUCAUGCAGCAAAACUCAGCUGGUACGUUCAUACCCUUUUCACCUUGGUAUUCACACUGUAAAAGUAUUCACCCUCCCUUUGCUGCUCCUUUGGAUGCCCACCAGCAUUUCGUUUAGUUAAGAAAAAAGGAAGUUGCUAAGUAGGAACAGAACUGAGUUGAAGUCUGAGAGAUCAGUAGUAUGUCAGAUACCAUUGGUACAGGCUUCUCAACUACCAUGAUCAUUGAUAAAAGUGUUAGGCGCUAUAGGUAGGUGUUCCUCCUGAAGUUAUACCACUGAGAUGAAAUUUAACUCUUCUUCACAUAUCCGAAAGUCAAUCAGACUGUCAUUGAAACAACUGAAUAAAAUCACCAGCCCUUCUUCUAUUCCUCUUUCUCUGUAAAGGUGAUAAACAGUUGGAUUCACAUUAGAUGUCAUCAGUGUUCCUUAGUCAGCGUGAUUGUUCUGGACUUCCUGGCAUUCCUUCAAACCAAGCAAGUAAGGUUAUUUAGGGGCUUUGAGCUAGGAUGGAUGGAAAGAGAAAGCAGACAAUAUGCUGCCACCUUUUGGUUACAGAAAUUAGAACAGGUACUAUCUGGAAAGAUCGAUCUAGUAAAAAUUUAAAAAAUCUAUGCCUUAUUUCUGUAAUGAAACAAUCUGAAAGUCCACAUAGUGCAAGAAGCACUCCAUCACGUUCUAAACUGUUGCUAUAAGCUUAGCGCAUGUUUUUCACAUUUGU